UUAAGGAAACUUAUUAUCUAAGCAGGAAAUACGAAUAGACGAGGCGCCCGGCCGGUGACAUAACUGCGUGGCGUUGCAGAUUAUAACUAAACUACCUGUACACAAAUAUAAUAUAAUAAUAAUGUAGGAUAUUCGGUGACCGCGGCGAUGUCGAAACGAUAACCGACGACGUUCAAGCCGAUUGGCGAGAGGGGCAUCUACGGCGGGGGGGGACCGGUUUCGUGGGCGUGCGGCGGCACGGGAUUGCGUCACGCGCGUAACAAUCGAUGCGGUAAGUUCCCGCGGCGCUCCAGCCCCCUCCACCGCUUCCAACCCAUAUACCGCAGUAUAGGACCCGAUUCCGGUGUACGGAAUUAUAAUCGCCGUCGUCGUCGUAAUAGCUUUGCGAGCAUAAUAUUAUACCUACCUGUUACGCCGCUCGCGCCCGUUUCCAUUUCGCCGCAAACAAGUAAAAUAACAUUAUAAUAUUUUUCGUUUCGCGUCGACCUUAACCCGAUAAAUUUCACGCUCGUCUUCCGCCGACGUAGGCGUUUUCGCACGACGCCGACGCCGUUGCAGCGACACGGGUCUCUCAUCGCCUAUACAUCACCUGCAGCUUGUGCAACGCGCGGCCCCCUCUGCCCUUCCCACCGUAAUACCUGCAACUGAAUAGAUAAUUAUAUAUUACCCGUAAUAUACUCCUCGGGUACAUUUAAAUAUAUACGCUUAAUAGCAUAAUAGUUAAUAGGACGUGUAGAUUAGAAUUUUUUUCCUUCCACUCCGUCGUCAUAACACAAAUCGCCGCCGCCGCCGUCGUCUUUUCACCGAGUCCUGAGAACGACAAAACGCACGUUCUCACCGAAGUCGCAGCCGUUAUUGCGCAACCGAAUGAGAAAUAAUGUAAUAUAUUUUCUCGUCAAAGUUCCGAACGCGUCGUGUGCCACAAACGCCCCCCCGCGUGCAGUUGUGAUGACAAAUGGCAGUGAUGCUAUAUAUAAUAUGCACAACUAACUAACGAGCAUAAUAAUAUAUGUGUAUAUUAUGCGUGUCAAAAUCUAUUAUGUAUCAUGUGUGAUACGCGUUAUAUUACUCGUGUGCAUUCGUACUUUUUAUAAUAUAAGCGCCUGCUUAAAAGGAUAUAAAUCUGUAUAAUAAUAUUUUCAAAUACGCCACAUAACGUCAUGUAUCGCGUCCGAUUCAGACCUGCAAACGGUUUUAGUCCGAUUACGUACGCAAUAGUACAAUAUGUACGUAGUAUAAGGUCUAUGGUAGUAGAUACGUUACGCGCGUGUAUGCGGUCACGUUAUGUGCGCAUUCAUGUGCAUUAAAUAGUCGCUUGGUUAUGCAAAACAAACGGCAAACGCAGUAUGAUCAUGCAUAUACACUGCAUCAGAAAGUUGUGUACCUAUAUUAUAUAUUGGUAUAUUCAAUAUUGUACUCGAGAGCGAUUUUAUUCCUGGUUCAAUCCGCACGCGUUCAAAACGGACCGAACGAUAAACGGAAUAUCAACGAACUUUCAACUUUCAAGGGGUUACAUGGAAUAUAUCCAAUAGGUAUUGAGAU